GUAAAAAUGCCAGAGUUAACAUGGGCUUGGUUUAGGACUAAGUUACGGCAUUUAUUGCCUUUUUACU
rnacentral:tRNA from 1 species